UAGCUCAACUNUACGAAUUCCAGGUAGACUGUUAAACUUGGGACUGGGAGAAGCUAGAGGUACUCCUGGGGUAGAGGUGAAAUUCUGUAAUCCUAGGGGGACCACCAGUGGCGAAGGCGUCUAGCUAGAACGGGUCUGACGGUGAGGGACGAAGCCCUGGGGCGCAAACCGGAUUAGAUACCCGGGUAGUCCAGGGUGUAAACGCUGCUUGCUUGAUGUUAGUCGGGCUCCGAGCCCGAUUAGUGUCGGAGAGAAGUUGUUAAGCAAGCUGCCUGGAAGUACGCCGCAAGAC
rnacentral:rRNA from 1 species